rnacentral:tRNA from 1 species
GCGGAUGGAGCAGUCUGGUAGCUCGUCGGGCUCAUAACCCGAAGGUCGUCGGUUCAAAUCCGGCUCCCGGCA